UACGUAGGGGGCAAGCGUUGUCCGGAUUUAUUGGGCGUAAAGAGCGUGUAGGCGGUCAGGUAGGUCCGUUGUGAAAACUCGAGGCUCAACCUCGAGACGCCGAUGGAAACCAUCUGACUAGAGUCCGGAAGAGGAGAGUGGAAUUCCCAGUGUAGAGGUGAAAUUCGUAGAUAUUGGGAAGAACACCGGUGGCGAAGGCGGCUCUCUGGACCGUAACUGACGCUGAGGAGCGAAAGCAUGGGGAGCGAACAGG
rnacentral:rRNA from 1 species